CAAUAAGCGGAGGAAAAGAAACCAACAGGGAUUGCCUCAGUAACGGCGAGUGAAGCGGCAUCAGCUCAAAUUUGAAAUCUGGCUUCGGCCCGAGUUGUAAUUUGUAGAGAAUGUUUCGGGCGUGGUCCGGUCUAAGUUCCUUGGAACAGGACGUCACAGAGGGUGAGAAUCCCGUGUGAUCGGGUGCCGCAGUCCAUGUGAAACUUCUUCGACGAGUCGAGUUGUUUGGGAAUGCAGCUCAAAAUGGGUGGUAAAUUUCAUCUAAAGCUAAAUAUUGGCCAGAGACCGAUAGCGCACAAGUAGAGUGAUCGAAAGAUGAAAAGCACUUUGGAAAGAGAGUUAAAUAGUACGUGAAAUUGUUGAAAGGGAAGCGCUUGCAACCAGACUUGCAUGCAGUUGAUCAUCCGGUGUUCUCACCGGUGCACUCGAUUGUAUUCAGGCCAGCAUCGGUUCUAGCGGUUGGAUAAAGGCCUUGGGAAUGUGGCUCCUCCGGGAGUGUUAUAGCCCUUGGUGCAAUGCAGCCUGCUGGGACCGAGGACCGCGCUUCGGCUAGGAUGCUGGCGUAAUGGUUGUAAGCGACCCGUCUUGAAACACGGACCAAGGAGUCUAACAUCUAUGCGAGUGUUUGGGUGUCAAACCCAUACGCGUAAUGAAAGUGAACGGAGGUGAGAGCUUCGGCGCAUCAUCGACCGAUCCUGAUGUCUUCGGAUGGAUUUGAGUAAGAGCAUAGCUGUUGGGACCCGAAAGAUGGUGAACUAUGCCUGAAUAGGGUGAAGCCAGAGGAAACUCUGGUGGAGGCUCGCAGCGGUUCUGACGUGCAAAUCGAUCGUCAAAUUUGGGUAUAGGGGCGAAAGACUAAUCGAA
rnacentral:rRNA from 1 species